UCACGAACAGGAGAGAUUCCUCCAUAAAUCGACUGAGUCGUGGACUCCAAAGCACUCGAUCUCUUCCUAUACAGGCUCGCGCUCGGUCACUCGGUGGAGAGAGUGGCGGAAACUGCGAUCAACCCUUGUGUUAACCAGAUGCCCGGUAGUGAUAGAGUUAUUGACAUCGGAGGUCCAUCCUUCUCCAACGAACAAACAAGAGCAAGGAAUGUUCAAGUUUCAAUAAGCCAAUCUUCAAUUGAUGUCUCGGAAUCUCCAUGCACUCAACAAUCUGGAAUCGGUGGUGGAUUGUGAAAUUGUGGACCAAGAAAUGCUAGUGGAUAUUCAGUGCCUGCUGUUAGAUGAGGAGAUUUUGUUGCAGACAGAAAAGUGCUAGUUUUUAUGUUUUUUGUAAGUAGAUAUGGCUAUGUACUGUCUGGUGUGAGGAUAUGGUAAUGUAACUUUCUAUAUGGGAUGGUUUGGUUAUGUACGAUGCAUUGAGUUGUGCUUGUUAUGUUGGCAUGUCUCUCUUUUCCAGCACACAAUGUGGAUCGGUUUAAGUUAAUCUAAUGCUAUUUAGCAGAUUUUUGCC